AAACUCAAAGGAAUUGACGGGGACCCGCACAAGCGGUGGAGCAUGUGGUUUAAUUCGACGAUACGCGAAGAACCUUACCUGGCCUUGACAUACUAAAAAGCUUUAAGAGAUUAGAGUGUGCUAGCUUGCUAGAAUUUAGAUACAGGUGCUGCACGGCUGUCGUCAGCUCGUGUCGUGAGAUGUUGGGUUAAGUCCCGCAACGAGCGCAACCCUCGUGUUUAGUUGCUAACAGUUCGGCUGAGAACUCUAAACAGACUGCCUACGCAAGUAGGAGGAAGGUGAGGACGACGUCAAGUCAUCAUGGCCCUUACGGCCAGGGCUACACACGUGCUACAAUGGGGUAUACAAAGAGCAGCGAUACGGUGACGUGGAGCAAAUCUAGAAAAUGCCUCUCAGUUCGGAUUGUAGUCUGCAACUCGACUACAUGAAGUUGGAAUCGCUAGUAAUCGUAGAUCCAGCAAUGCUACGGUGAAUAACGUUCCGGGUCUU
rnacentral:rRNA from 1 species